rnacentral:lncRNA from 1 species
GGACCAGUUCAGUAGGUAAAGGCUCUGAGUCCUUUAUCCCACUCCAUACAGAGAAGAUUUCACUUUUUGGUUGCAUACAGUGGGCUCUACAUAAGAUUUCAUUUGAACAAAAGAGGCUGCUGCUGCGAAGAACUCGACAAUUGCUGGCCUGGAUGAAGAAACAGAGCCAGAGAGGAAUCUGUGCAAGUCACAUCGCACAGACAACAGCGGCGGGCAGCGUCCAGACCCCACUCUGGCCACGGGGGAGCUGCGACGCUAUUGCUGAGCCUUGGCAUUCAUAGCAGACCUGAGGAUCCCACUCCAUCCUCCAGCAGGCCACCGGCCUCCCAGGAUCACCAUCCACCUUGUUCCCUGAAGCUUCAUCUUGUUGGCUGUCUCAGAUGUGUUCCUAUCGGAGCAGAUGAUAAGUGAGAGGUCACUGAAGGUGAACACCUGCAGGUCCCCAGAUUAAUCACGUUGUGUUUGCCAAGUGUCACCGAAAGCACGUCUUAGAGACAACGCAUCUUCAUCAGGUCCAGCCCUGGCCUGCGACUUCCCAGAAGUGGAGCCUUGACCCACAACUUCACUUUACUUCUCUCAAGCGGGAUCCAACAGAGAAAAAUUCCGCUCUGCCAGCCCCUUGGAGAUCAAAUGAAAUCAUGAGAUGGAUCUUGGGAAAUUCUGAAGUACUUUAAGGACAUUGGACAUAAUUACUAUAAGCUUAAAACUCCUUGCAAACAAGUCUUCCUACAAUUUGUCUUCACUCAAUGCUUUUAAGCUCUGCAGUGUGCCCUUUUGAACACGUCCAAAUUCAGUUCAGCCUUCCAGGUUUUAUAGGUUCACAUUGUUUUCCUUCUCAGCCUUACUUUUCCC